rnacentral:lncRNA from 1 species
UGUGCGAAUAUUGAGCUCCACGUAAAGUAGAUGAGACACAGUAUUUAACGAGGUUCGGCUAUGCCUACAUCCCCGGAGAGCAGCAGUAGUAACUUUUCCACUAUGUAAAAUAAUAGGGCUACAACUUUAGAGUUUACAAUAUGUAAGGCUCACUGAAUUUUCUCUCUGCUCACUCACCCUAUUUCUUCCUUCUCUUCCUCUUCUCUGCCUGACUCUCUUUCCUCUUUUCUUCUUCUCUUUCCUCCUUUCUCUUUCUUCUCUCUUUCCUCCUUUCCUUUUCUUCUCUCUUUCCUCCUUUCCUUUUCUUCUCCCCGUUUCUCCCUUUUUUUCUUCUCUUCUCUUUCCGUUUCUCUUCUUAUUUAUAGGCUGAAAUAAUCACUAUUCAUCACUAUUCACUAUUCACCCGUGACAGACAAACUCUACCAAAAGUCUCCAAAUGAAUAGUAAUGAAUAGUUAGUGGGCUCCACAUGUUUAUUCUUUUACAACACUCCCCCUUGGAGACCACUAAUGAUAUGUCCGUUGUAUCAUUAAAGACUUGCUUGGAGAAAACCUAGUAAGGUAGAGAACUGAUGGAAAGAAAAGUACAACAAUCUGUAUAGCAUACUUCUGGAUGCUCCCCCUGAUUAAUAUCUCCCCCUGAUGUCUUCAUGACUAUCUUUUGGAUUAAGAAUCUUUCUGAGUGAGUGAAUGAUGUAGCCACCAACAAUUCAUAUAGUAAAUAUAUUUCCAGUAAGCUAUCUCUAUGGAAAUCAUAAAAAUUUUCAGAGUCUGCAUAUCUAAUAACGCUUGGGCUAUUUAUAAGUUCACUUGAAAGAAUAUGCCCAUACAUGGUGUUAUGCGGAAAUAGCAUCAAAUAUACCUCACAUCAUCCCAAAAUGAUGGUGAUGGAGUUGAGCCUUAUCUGGAAAAUAUGAUGUCCGGUCCAAUAUACUUCCGGAAAAUCCUUAAAGUGCCCAACGGAUAAUCCUCAUAAAAAUGCUUCAAUACUUUCUUAGUAUAAGCAAGAAUCUCGUUGGCAUAAUGCUCGAUCCUUAAGUCGAGACAAAUAUUUCUUGAAUUCUGCAGAAGCUUUAAUGUGUUGCAAUCACAUUAUAAUCAAUGUACUCAUUGAGGUAAUUUAUGCAUAUUAAUAUUGAGUACAAAUUUUGUGCUUCAAGCACAUGUCCUUUAGGGACUUGCUUUAUGCAAUGUCAAUCCGCUUAACGGAUUUUGUCUAAAAAGGGGAUUAAACUUUAUGACACAUUAUAUAGCUUUUACCCAGCUAUUUAUAUAUCUUUAGGAAAAUCGCUUCUGGCGAUAUGCUCCGUGCAUUUAAUAACCCUUAAAGAUAAUAUGUUGGUCUCCGUAAUUGUGUAAUAAGGGGGGCACAAUUGAAUCUGUAAAUAUGGAGAAAACCCAACAUUCCUUGUUUCUGCCAGAAACAUUGUGUCAUACAAAGUAGGUAUAUUCCCUUUUAUUCCGAACACCCAAGUAUAAAUUUCAGUAUUAACAAAUUUUGGGGUUCGUAUUGCGGGUUUGUUCUUUCACGUUCAUUCUCAUUUAUAAUGGAAUUACCUCGUUCCAUUUUGGCCAAUAAUAUUGUCGACAUUUAAUAAUUGAACAUGAUUCCAAUCAACACAGCCCAUUGAUGAUUUGAGUAGCUACUCUAAAAUCAAAAAUUGUCAUUCAUCAAUUCAUGAUCAAAAAUUGUCAUUCAUCAAUUCAUGAUCCCACCAUUCUCAUUUGCACGUGCAUGCAUCAAUUAUAAGCAUUUCUUUGCUUUUGGGUACCCAAGCCACUUCAGGGGGCUUUUAUUAUGUGAGAAUGUGGAUUAUAACCUCCAAUGAAGCGUUAUUUUAUAGUGGGGCGUGGAUAAUCUCCAUUUAGGGAGUUGGAACAUUUAGAACCCAUAUAUCUGUCAUGCUGCAGGCAUGCCACAGAUUAAUACAUACAUGUCAAUGAAUUUCUGGGACUUUAACUCAUAUUAUGGGACUUUAACCCAUAUAAUUUGCUACGCAUUAGGCGUGCAUAAUAUCAAUAUUGACAUGUCAAAGGAUUGUCCUUUCGGGACUUCAAUCCAUAUCAUUUGCUACGCAACAGGCGUGCACCAUAUUGAUCACUGCUAUACCCAUAUUCUGUUCUUAUGAGACUUUAAUCUGUGCAGUGUAUUAUCAAUGUAUCCAACUUACAAUCUGUAAAAUUUGCGUUAAUAAUUCAUGGAUACAUACAAGCCAUUCUUUUGGAACGGACUUAUCUCCCCAUUUGGUUACCUUUCAAGAUAAAAUAUCAAAUAGGUAUAUAAGCAUAAAAUAACACAAGUAUUGCUUACAUCCUUAGGUGGGAGAAACUUUUCUCAAGUAUCAUUCAAGCUCGUAUCGGCCCAGUAAAUAUAAAGUAUCGCUUGAUGAUCUUGUUAUAUCCUGCAAGAGCAAAAAUCACAAUUCUCUUCUCUGUCAAAAACAAAUAACUCUCAGAGUUAGGAUCACUGCAUGGAUUCAUUCUUCAGAUGUUCAUUCUAAAGAAAUAAAAUCUCUUAUGAACAGAGAGUUAUAAAAAGAAAGAAAAGAUACAAAAAUUGUGAUAUUGAUUGCAAGGUAAGCUAAGCAAUCAGGGAAGGAAGCUGGUGGGAGCAGACAAUAAGCUCUCAUAUCUCCUAGUCUAGAAGGACUUCCGGAGAUUAGAGCAUAAGGUCGCCUUCACAGUUCCCUGAUGUAGCGGAAACAUGAUCAGGGAUAGUCUUGCUUCCUGAAUGGAUGAUCAGAGAUAGUCUUGCUUCUCGGGCAUAUUGAGUGCUUACUGAUAAGAAAAACAAGUAGAUAUCGCAUCACUAGGUAUGGAGUAAACUGGAUGUCUUCUGCAAAGAAAAUUUCGUUAGUAACACAUUUAUACACAAAUACAAUGAAUAGGUAGAACCGGUGAAUUUCAAAUUAACCAUAGGAAAAUUGCGAGAUUCUCGGGAUGCUUUUGAAAAAGUAGCUCCGUGAAAUCCGUAAAGCAAGAUCGGCUUUGAAAAUAAUACUUGAAAACGCCGAAAGUGCCGACAGGCAUUAUUAGAGGCCACGUGAAGUUUUGGACUCUAGGAAAGAAAAAGAUAAUAUGGGGAUUCGAGAAGAUAUUGGGGUCCUGAAAAACAGUAGCCAUAUUUCCUCCUAUAGAUAUGGCCUUUGCAAAACUUGAUUGGAGCAACUGCGUUUCAACUCAAAUUUCUUCAUUUUCUGAAACUUUAGUUUUCCUGAGACUUUCUUCGAAACCUUCUUAAAAAUGGCUUCCUCUUCUUCCUGCCCAAAUUAUUUCAAUUUAAAUGAUGCUCCCACAACUACCAAUGAUGCCCAAGUUUGGCGUCCAUCCUUUGUAUCCCAAAAUCGUCAUCUCACAGUUAAUGAUUCUGUGAUGAUGAAUGAUGCUACUGCUGUCAUAGUAGCUAGGAAUUUCAUUACUCCGAUGGAUGAAAUGCUGUUAACAGGGAGGUCUGAGGAAGAGGCUAUUGAUGACUCAAUGACUUUUAGCAUUCAGAGUGCUGCUUCUGUUUCUAACAUGGCUGAUCGUUUGCGUGCUAGAGCAAACGAGGUUGAGAAGCUGACAGCUGAAAAUUCGUCUCUUCAAAGAAUGCUUCAUGAGUCUCAACAGGAGGUUGAGAAACUUAAAGGAGAGAAUAAUUCCUUGUUGAAACUGGUGAGUUCGUACUCUGUUGAUACACUGAGAAGGCUAGACAUGCUGCAGGUCUCCAAUGAAAGAAUUUUGGGAGACCACGAGAAGCUCAUGGCCAAGCUUAAGAGGCGCCGUACUCUUCCUUCAGAGGCUUCCAGAACAUAAUGUAAUUUUAUAGAUUUUACAGGGCCUGCACCUUCAUUGCAGGUGGAAAAAAUCUAUCUGUUGUAUGUUCUUGUAAUAAUAAUUGCGCACAUUCUUAAACUUGCACCUGUGGUUUUUACGUCUUUUCAAAAUGACGGUUUGGAACCUUGUGCCUUAUAGGUUCAAAUAACCACAUUGUCUCUCCCAAAUUGCAUGGUGGCCCGGAACUUUUGGCCUGGGCACAAACUCAGAAUUUAUUUGCCCUUUUCAAAUGGACAUGAAAUGUGAAUUGAGUAAAAGCCAUGAUAAUAUCGCAAUAUAGUAGUGAAGAGCAUUAACUACUAUAUACCCACAACUUCAAGUUUAGGAUCUCUCAUAUAAUUGGAUCCAUGGGCUUCCGGCCCAGAUAUAACAAAAUAUGUGGGGAGCCUCAAUUCAUUAUUUGAGGUUUAUAUUGAUAUUAUCCAUUUCGCGGUGUAUUCUUAACAACCGGAAUUCACAAAAUAUAUUUCUUCCUUGAGGUGUCGAUUAUAACAAAAUCGAACUUUAAAUUCAUCAUCUUCUUAUGCCAAAGAAAUAUGUGGCAUACCACAAUUUGCAAUAAUACCUCAAGGGUUGUCCAUUUAAUUGUUGGAACUUCAGGUUCUCAACACUGUUAAAUUUUGAACUUCAGGCCAAAGCCACAUAUUCUCAUGGUAUGGACAUUUUUACAAUUUUCUGUACAUAUUUCGGGACUUCAAGCCCUUACAUAAUUGUCCAUAUUUGGAGGAACUUCUGGCAUCUCAUUUAAUUGUUCAUCCAUGAGUUUAAGGAACUGCAGGUUCCCUUUUGUAUAUAGUGACGGUUUACCCAAAAUGGUUAAUAUUUAUGCAUACGUCACUAUUCAUGUGAAUAGUACUAUUCAUCAAGUCAUGAAUACGUAUCUAUUCAUCUGCCAGUACAGUUAUCAUCAAUGUGUACGGCACUAUGAAAUUUCAGGUUCCAUUUUGUAUAUAGUGACGGUUUACCCAAAAUGGUUCAUAUUUAUGCAUACGUCACUAUUCAUGUGAAUAGUACUAUUCAUCAAGUCAUGAAUACGUAUCUAUUCAUCUGCCAGUACAGUUAUCAUCAAUGUGUACGGCACUAUGAAUCAAUACGGUACUGUUACAUCAUUAAGGAACUCUAGGUCCUUAUUUACAUGUCAGGGAUCAAGGACCCUUAAUUUCGAUCACAUGUUUACAAAUACAGUACCGGAGAGACUGCCAGCUCUCAUAUUAAUAUCAUCAUCAAGGAUCUUCAAGUCCUGAUGUAAUUGUAUGAUGAGGAUCAAGGAACUUCUGGUCCUGAUCUGCAUACUGUAAAAACUCAUCAUACAGCACAAUUAAUCCAUAAAAUAAAUUGCUGGUAAAUAAAUUACUGAUAUGGACGAUAAACCCGCACCAUACAUUUAAAUAAAAGUAAAGGCGUGGACGAUAAACCCGCACCACCCUUUUAAAUAAAUGUAAAUGUGCAGUAAAUUAAAUUCAUAAAUUAAAUUGCUUGCUGUAUGGACGUUAAUCCAGCACUAUACCUUAAAUAAAUUAAAAGCUUGCUGUAUGGAUGUUAAUCCCGCACCAUACCUUAAAUAAAAUUAAAUGUGCGGUAAAGUAAACGUGCUUGUAUGGGCACUAAUUCUGCUCUAUACAUUUAAAUAAAAGCAAAGGCGUGGACCAUAAACCCGCACCACCCUUUAAAUAAAUAUUGUCGUAUGGGUAAUAAACCUACACCAUACCAUAAAUAAUACUUUAAGUAAAAGUAAAUUUGCGAUAAAAUAAACGUACUUGUAUGGGCACUAAUUCUGCUCCAUACAUUUAAAUAAAAGCAAAGGCGUGGGCGAUAAAUCCGCACCACCCUUUUAAAUAAAUACUGUUGUAUGGGUAAUAAACCUACACCAUAAAGUAAAUAAAAUAAAUGUGGGAAUAAAAACCACCACUGAACAAGAUAAGGAAAGUGUUAGUAUUAGUAACGGUCUCCCACUGAUAAUAUGUUUAGUAUUACCAAGGGUCCAUUUUUGUUAAUGGUUAGUAAUAGAAAAGCAGAUAAAUAUAGUAUAUUAUAUUACCAUCAACUUUUCAUAUAUAUAAUAUAUAUAUAUAUUAUACUGAUAUAUUAGUGGAAAGCUAGAUGCGUUGGCUUUUCUUCUUUACAUCAACAUAAUGGUUAGUAGUAUAAAUAAUAGUGCAGUACAAAAAUUAUACCUGAGAGCUUCUCGUGCUGAUAACGUGUUAUAAAAUGACCUGGAAUAUGUGCGAAUAUUGAGCUCCACGUAAAGUAGAUGAGACACAGUAUUUAACGAGGUUCGGCUAUGCCUACAUCCCCGGAGAGCAGCAGUAGUAACUUUUCCACUAUGUAAAAUAAUAGGGCUACAACUUUAGAGUUUACAAUAUGUAAGGCUCACUGAAUUUUCUCUCUGCUCACUCACCCUAUUUCUUCCUUCUCUUCCUCUUCUCUGCCUGACUCUCUUUCCUCUUUUCUUCUUCUCUUUCUUCCUUUCUCUUUCUUCUCUCUUUCCUCCUUUCCUUUUCUUCUCUCUUUCCUCCUUUCCUUUUCUUCUCUCUUUCCUCCUUUCCUUUUCUUCUCCCCGUUUCUCCCUUUUUUUCUUCUCUUCUCUUUCCGUUUCUCUUCUUAUUUAUAGGCUG